GUUAGGAAUAUUGGACAAUGGGCGCAAGCCUGAUCCAGCCAUGCCGCGUGAACGAUGAAGGCCUUCGGGUUGUAAAGUUCUUUAGCCGAUGAUUAUAAUGACUGUAGUCGGAAAAUAAGCCCCGGCUAACUUCGUGCCAGCAGCCGCGGUAAUACGAAGGGGGCGAGCGUUAUUCGGAAUCACUGGGCGUAAAGCGUGCGUAGGCGGUCUCGUAAGUUAGGAGUGAAAGCCCAGGGCUCAACCUUGGAAUUGCUCUUAAAACUGCAAGGCUCGAAUCUCGGAGAGGAUAGCGGAAUUUCCAGUGUAGCAGUGAAAUGCGUAGAUAUUGGAAGGAACACCAGUGGCGUAAGCGGCUAUCUGGACGAGUAUUGACGCUGAGGCACGAAAGCGUGGGGAUCAAACAGGAUUAGAUACCCCGGUAGUCC
rnacentral:rRNA from 1 species